AAAACAAACCUACGGGAGGCAGCAGUGGGGAAUCUUGCGCAAUGGGCGAAAGCCUGACGCAGCCAUGCCGCGUGAAUGAUGAAGGUCUUAGGAUUGUAAAAUUCUUUCACCGGGGACGAUAAUGACGGUACCCGGAGAAGAAGCCCCGGCUAACUUCGUGCCAGCAGCCGCGGUAAUACGAAGGGGGCUAGCGUUGCUCGGAAUUACUGGGCGUAAAGGGAGCGUAGGCGGACUGUUAAGUUAGAGGUGAAAGCCCAGGGCUCAACCUUGGAAUUGCCUUUGAUACUGGCAGUCUUGAGUACGGAAGAGGUAUGUGGAACUCCGAGUGUAGAGGUGAAAU
rnacentral:rRNA from 1 species